rnacentral:misc_RNA from 1 species
UGGUUCUGGCAACGAUGAAGGACGCAGCGAAAUGCGAUAAGUAAUGUGAAUUGCAGAAUUCCGUGAAUCAUCGAAUCUUUGAACGCACAUUGCGCCCACCAGUACUCUGGUGGGCAUGCCUGUCCGAGCGUCAUUUCGACCCUCGAGCCCCCCUUUGGCGGUGGCUCGGUGCUGGGGCGCUACAGCGUGUUUCGUGCUGUAGGCCCCGAAAUGCAGUGGCGGCCUCGUCGAGACCCCGAGCGCAGUAAACCGUGCCUUAGCACGGCGCCUCGUUCAGGGUGUCCGGCGGGUGUUUAGCCGUUAAACCCCCCUAAUUUAUAGAAGUUUGACCUCGGAUCAGGUAGGAAUACCCGCUGA